CUACUGUUAGCUCAGUUGGUAAAGCAAAGGAUUGUAGUUAUUACCAAAUCAGUAUUCCUUAGGUCACCGGUUCAAACCCGGUACGGUAGA
rnacentral:tRNA from 1 species